rnacentral:rRNA from 1 species
AGCAGCCGCGGUAAUUCCAGCUCCAAUAGCGUAUAUUAAAGUUGUUGCAGUUAAAAGCUCGUAGUUGAAUUUCGGGGUCAAUACGUCGGUCGUGCCUCGGUACGCACUGACGUUAUUGAUCCCUCCCUUCUGACGAACCGUGAUGUCAUUAAUUUGGUGUUGCGGGGAAUCAGGACUGUUACCUUGAAAAAUUAGAGUGUUUAAAUCAGGCAAUCGCUCGAAUACAUUAGCAUGGAAUAAUGAAAUAGGACGUUCGAACCUAUUUUGUUGGUUUCUAGGAUCGACGUAAUGAUUAAUAGGGAUAGUUGGGGGCAUUAGUAUUCAAUUGUCAGAGGUGAAAUUCUUGGAUUUAUUGAAGACUAACUACUGCGAAAGCAUUUGCCAAGGAUGUUUUCAUUAAUCAAGAACGAAAGUUAGGGAUCGAAGACGAUCAGAUACCGUCGUAGUCUU